UACGUAGGGUGCGAGCGUUAAUCGGAAUUACUGGGCGUAAAGCGUGCGCAGGCGGCGCGUUAAGACAGGUGUGAAAGCCCCGAGCUUAACUUGGGAAUUGCGCUUGUGACCGGCGUGCUGGAGUGUGGCAGAGGGGGGUGGAAUUCCGCGUGUAGCAGUGAAAUGCGUAGAGAUGCGGAGGAACACCGAUGGCGAAGGCAGCCCCCCUGGGCUAACACUGACGCUCAGGCACGAAAGCGUGGGGAGCAAACAGG
rnacentral:rRNA from 1 species